rnacentral:rRNA from 1 species
UAGAGGAAGUAAAAGUCGUAACAAGGUUUCCGUAGGUGAACCUGCGGAAGGAUCAUUAUUGAAUUACUUUGAAGCAAGUUGUAGCUGGCUCUUAGGAGUAUGUGCACACUUGUUCUCAUUUUAACCACCUGUGCACUCAUUGUAGACUUGUGAUACCUUUCAAGCAAUUGCUUGGUUUUUGAAGGUUGCUGGACUUUUUUUCAAAGAGAGACAGCUCCCUUUACAUUUCACAGUCUAUGUUUUCAUAUACCCUUAAUUUGUAUGUCUUUGAAUGUAAUUUUAUAGGCUUUCAUUGCCUUUUAAAACUUAUACAACUUUCAACAACGGAUCUCUUGGCUCUCGCAUCGAUGAAGAACGCAGCGAAAUGCGAUAAGUAAUGUGAAUUGCAGAAUUCAGUGAAUCAUCGAAUCUUUGAACGCACCUUGCGCUCCUUGGUAUUCCGAGGAGCAUGCCUGUUUGAGUGUCAUUAAAUUCUCAACCUUUCCAGCUUUUGUUUACAAAACUGGUCAGGCUUGGAUAUGGGGGUUGCAGGCUUCAAUAAGAAGUCAGCUCUCCUUAAAUAUAUUAGCAGAACCUUUGCGGACUGUCUUUUGGUGUGAUAAUUAUCUACGCCAUCUGUCAUGAAGCAGAUUUUAAUGGGGUUCAGCUUCUAAUCGUCUAUUGACUUGGACAAUUUUAUUGACUAUUUGACCUCAAAUCAGGUAGGACUACCCGCUGAACUUAAGCAUAUCAAUAAGCGGAGGA